GGGUUGUGAGGUUAAGCGACUAAGCGUACACGGUGGAUGCCCUGGCAGUCAGAGGCGAUGAAGGACGUGCUAAUCUGCGAUAAGCGUCGGUAAGGUGAUAUGAACCGUUAUAACCGGCGAUUUCCGAAUGGGGAAACCCAGUGUGAUUCGUCACACUAUCAUUAACUGAAUCCAUAGGUUAAUGAGGCGAACCGGGGGAACUGAAACAUCUAAGUACCCCGAGGAAAAGAAAUCAACCGAGAUUCCCCCAGUAGCGGCGAGCGAACGGGGAGCAGCCCAGAGCCUGAAUCAGUGUGUGUGUUAGUGGAAGCGUCUGGAAAGGCGUGCGAUACAGGGUGACAGCCCCGUACACAAAAAUGCACAUACUGUGAGCUCGAUGAGUAGGGCGGGACACGUGGUAUCCUGUCUGAAUAUGGGGGGACCAUCCUCCAAGGCUAAAUACUCCUGACUGACCGAUAGUGAACCAGUACCGUGAGGGAAAGGCGAAAAGAACCCCGGCGAGGGGAGUGAAAAAGAACCUGAAACCGUGUACGUACAAGCAGUGGGAGCACGCUUAGGCGUGUGACUGCGUACCUUUUGUAUAAUGGGUCAGCGACUUAUAUUCUGUAGCAAGGUUAACCGAAUAGGGGAGCCGAAGGGAAACCGAGUCUUAACUGGGCGUUAAGUUGCAGGGUAUAGACCCGAAACCCGGUGAUCUAGCCAUGGGCAGGUUGAAGGUUGGGUAACACUAACUGGAGGACCGAACCGACUAAUGUUGAAAAAUUAGCGGAUGACUUGUGGCUGGGGGUGAAAGGCCAAUCAAACCGGGAGAUAGCUGGUUCUCCCCGAAAGCUAUUUAGGUAGCGCCUCGUGAAUUCAUCUCCGGGGGUAGAGCACUGUUUCGGCAAGGGGGUCAUCCCGACUUACCAACCCGAUGCAAACUGCGAAUACCGGAGAAUGUUAUCACGGGAGACACACGGCGGGUGCUAACGUCCGUCGUGAAGAGGGAAACAACCCAGACCGCCAGCUAAGGUCCCAAAGUCAUGGUUAAGUGGGAAACGAUGUGGGAAGGCCCAGACAGCCAGGAUGUUGGCUUAGAAGCAGCCAUCAUUUAAAGAAAGCGUAAUAGCUCACUGGUCGAGUCGGCCUGCGCGGAAGAUGUAACGGGGCUAAACCAUGCACCGAAGCUGCGGCAGCGACGCUUAUGCGUUGUUGGGUAGGGGAGCGUUCUGUAAGCCUGUGAAGGUGUGCUGUGAGGUAUGCUGGAGGUAUCAGAAGUGCGAAUGCUGACAUAAGUAACGAUAAAGCGGGUGAAAAGCCCGCUCGCCGGAAGACCAAGGGUUCCUGUCCAACGUUAAUCGGGGCAGGGUGAGUCGACCCCUAAGGCGAGGCCGAAAGGCGUAGUCGAUGGGAAACAGGUUAAUAUUCCUGUACUUGGUGUUACUGCGAAGGGGGGACGGAGAAGGCUAUGUUGGCCGGGCGACGGUUGUCCCGGUUUAAGCGUGUAGGCUGGUUUUCCAGGCAAAUCCGGAAAAUCAAGGCCGAGGCGUGAUGACGAGGCACUACGGUGCUGAAGCAACAAAUGCCCUGCUUCCAGGAAAAGCCUCUAAGCAUCAGGUAACAUCAAAUCGUACCCCAAACCGACACAGGUGGUCAGGUAGAGAAUACCAAGGCGCUU
rnacentral:rRNA from 1 species